rnacentral:rRNA from 1 species
GGCGCAGACGGUUACUUAAGCAGGAUGUGAAAUCCCCGGGCUCAACCUGGGAACUGCGUUCUGAACUGGGUGACUAGAGUGUGUCAGAGGGAGGUAGAAUUCCACGUGUAGCAGUGAAAUGCGUAGAGAUGUGGAGGAAUACCGAUGGCGAAGGCAGCCUCCUGGGAUAACACUGACGUUCAUGCCCGAAAGCGUGGGUAGCAAACA